rnacentral:sRNA from 1 species
UAAUAGCCCUGAUGGAAAUGGAAAUCCCUUUUGGAUAGGUUAAAUUGUUGUUUUGCGAGGUUUAUCCAAAAGGAUUGGAAUGUACAGCAGGACAGAAC